rnacentral:rRNA from 1 species
GACGAACGCUGGCGGCGUGCUUAACACAUGCAAGUCGAACGGAAAGGCCCUGCUUUUGUGGGGUGCUCGAGUGGCGAACGGGUGAGUAACACGUGAGUAACCUGCCCUUGACUUUGGGAUAACUUCAGGAAACUGGGGCUAAUACCGGAUAGGAGCUCCUGCUGCAUGGUGGGGGUUGGAAAGUUUCGGCGGUUGGGGAUGGACUCGCGGCUUAUCAGCUUGUUGGUGGGGUAGUGGCUUACCAAGGCUUUGACGGGUAGCCGGCCUGAGAGGGUGACCGGCCACAUUGGGACUGAGAUACGGCCCAGACUCCUACGGGAGGCAGCAGUGGGGAAUAUUGCACAAUGGGGGGAAGCCUGAUGCAGAAACGCCGCGUGCGGGAUGACGGCCUUCGGGUUGUAAACCGAUUUCGCCUGUGACGAAGCGUGAGUGACGGUAAUGGGUAAAGAAGCACCGGCUAACUACGUG